GGCAGCCCCUCAUUGCCUGAUUGUUGUCUCAGCCCUAGUGUACACCAACCAGCCCAUUGGGAUCCCACCAUUCCUCCAGAAGGACCAGUGCCAAGAUCAUCUUCCCUCCUCGCCAGCCAACCUUGCCCACGUUCCACUCUCGCUCCACGCUACUUACCUGCACUCAUGCCUACCCACCUGAGCUCCUGUUCGUCCUUCGUCUGGCCUCAGCCACCUGUACCCAAACUCCCACCCAUGUAACAAAUUGCCCAAGUAUCUCCGUCUGCUUGCUCCUUUGGUUGGAUUUGUGUAAAUAGAUCUAUGACAAUAAACUUUUUCACUGUGAUUCGUGUGUGUCUGUGUGAUCCGCUCCAUGAGUGUAUUUCUCAUUACACAUGACACUGAGGCAGUAAAGACUUCGAAAGCAU
ensembl:lncRNA